rnacentral:misc_RNA from 1 species
CCUGCUCAAGUGGCAUUUUAUGUGCU